rnacentral:lncRNA from 1 species
AGGUCUGACCGAGGGGAUGAGUGUCUGAAGCCAGGGGGCUCUGGGCUUCUCCGGCCUCAGGCAAGAAGCGGGGCUGGCUGCGUUCGGGACCCAGCGCCCCCCAGGCCCUCCAAAGACUGGUUGAGCUCAGAACCAGAAGGAGCGAGGGAGCAGAGAAAGCCGGGGGCGGGCUCGGGGUAAGACAGGAAGGGAGUGAGAUUAAGGUGAGAAGUGGGAGGGGAAGGAGGGAAACCGAGAGGAAUUGAGGGUGGGCUCGGCGUAUCUAGAGCAGUCCGCGGAGGACGCUGAGGCUCGCCGGGGAAGUGCUGUGCCCGAGGCGCCCCAAAGGUGGGCGGCGGUGCCAGCUCAGACCCACGCCUCUGUCCAAGUCCCGACUCCUGCGGACUCGGCUGCAGGCGGGCUCCAUGAGGGCGGGCAGCAGGGCUCAGACGAUCCGGCUCGGUUUGGUCAGCAGACCCCCGGUAACGCCCCGCACCGUCGGCGAUCCCUGCCCCCUUCCACUGCGCCCCCACAAGCCCCGAGCUCGCCAGUCCUUCCCCGCGGCGCUCCGCUCUGUGGCCCCCUCGCAUCCCACCGUGGGGGUGCAGCUCCCCUGGCACAGCCCGACGGUGGGAGAGGGCGGCCAGCUGGACUAAAAGCCCCGUCCCCGGGCGGGACCUUCCUCCCCGCACCCUGACGCGGAGGUUGGCCGGGGGCCUCUGCGUCCCUCUGCCCCGCGCCCUGGAUGGGGAGGGUCUGGGCUCCGCGCCGCGAGGCAGCGCGACGGCUGCGGGCGACUUGGCGUGCGGUGCUGAGGACCCUGGGGGAGUGUGCGCCGCGGGGACGCCGGGGACUCGGGGUCCUAGUGCCACCGGACGCAGCGGGAGUAGCGCAGGUCUGGGGGCGGGGUCUCUCGAGGCGCAGACAACAAGCUAGAUCCUGAGCCCUCUGCUUCAAAGCGGGUAGCGCCUUCGCCCACGCCUUCCCUCCCACCAUCCCUGCCUGGCUGCCACCCGGAAGUCCCCGUCCGCGCCCCGACAGCGCCGCCCUCCGGCUGGCUGCAGCGCGGGCCCUCGGUAGGGGGCGUUCCAAGGCCCCGCCUCCUCGUCACUGCCACGGAUGACGACGCCCCAGGCCCCCGGCCCCGCCUCCGCCUCUGCCUCCGCGGCCAGCACUGGGGAGCGUCCUGGCCUGCGCUUGCUCCCCAACCCCUCCUUGCCCCGCUCUGAGCCGGCGCGUCCUUGCUCCCCCACCACUCUUCUCUCUCGGGCCAGCCGAGCCCAAAAGGCCUCUCCUCUUCUGUUUUUCCAGUUCCCUCCUCAAUUUCACCUCCUCGGAGACCCUCCACCACCCAGAUCUUCAGCGAGCAAGUCACCUUUCCUUUAGAUAGACAGACAGGUUAGAGAUAGAUUAGAGAGAUUAGAUAGAGAUUAGACGGAUAGAUUAGAUAGACUGAUAAGAUGAAAGAUGUAGAUGGUAGAGAUUUGCAUACAUAUGGAUAGAUACAUAUGGAUAGAUCAUAGACAGAUGGAUGAUUGAUACGAUGUGGAUGAUAGAUGGUUGGAUAAAGAUGAUAGUUAUAGAUGAUAAAAAGGCAUAGAUGAUAGAUACAUAUAGAUGACAGAGAUAGAUAGAGAUGAUAUAUAACAUUGUAACACGUAUAGAUAGGCCACAGAUAGGUAGGCAGUGGGUAGAUAGGAGGUAGAUGGAUGGAUAUGCGUAUAGAUAUAGGUAUAUGUCCUGAAGGGACAACCCGGACCCCAGGCUGGCCAGGACAGUACCCAGGCUUUGGCAACCUCCUCAAUAGACACGAAGCUGCAGGUUUUCAGCUGCUUACGCCGGGCAAACUGUAAAGUGCUUUAAAUCCCUGGAACUAACCACAACGGCAGCUUAGCCUGGAAACUCAAGUGCUGGCUGCAGGCAGUUUGAGCGCAGCUCCAGGGCUGCAAGGUUGCCUGCAAGUAACACGACAUUUGUUCAUUCUUUCAAGCAUCUGCUGAGCCUGUUGCAGCUGCCUGUGGCUGGGUUCCGGCACUCAGAGACCCUGGGCCUGCUCGAGAGGGGCUGACAUUAUGGUGGGCAUCAGAGACACCCACACAGAGCCUCACUUGAUCCAUGUGGCAGUGCCCUGGGAGAGGGCAGGGAGGGGUGCUGGGAAACACGAGAGGGGCAGGCAUUUGACCUGGGUCCUGAGGACGGGCUGAGGUUCCCAGAAGAAGAAAAACCACAUCAGUCAGAGGCACCAGUAGGUGCCCAUAGGAAUAGAGGGCCUGGUUCCUCCUGGGCCAGGAAGCAGUUUUGUGGGGCUGGAUCCCCGGAUCCUGAGAUGACAGUGGGUGCUGGGGUGUAGCUUGUGCUCAGAGAGGAGGAAAGCUGGCUGAGGCCAGGUUGAGAGGGAUUCUGAGAGCCCAUCUAUUUCUCCUGUUCCCAUCUCCUCUGUUAUACCUGUCCCCAGGCACCUGAAAUGACAAAGGUGCACAACCCCGGUCCUCUGGGCGUGGACUUCAAACCUAUACACAUGUGACAAUCCCCGAGUUAGACAGCCCUCCUUCAGGAGCAGCUCUGGAUGUCAAAGGGUUACGCUGCUGUCAGCAGCCCCUCCCUCUGUCUGACCUGAAUCCCCCCCACCCACCCAGGGACAGCCUCCCCCUCAGGGUGACUCAGCCCCUGACUCCCAACUCCCUCCCUGCCAUCAGCUAAGACUGUAACUGGUUACCAUAGCGACCUCAAGAAGCCCGGUUCAUACCCCUCCUUCCUGAUGAGACCUGGAGGUCUAAAUUGCUCCUGAGAUGAAUGCUGUGCACAGCUCCUCACCUGCAGAGAUAUUUGACAGGCAGCAUCCCAGCGCCUUCCUCCCCUGCACAAACUCAGGAAGGGAGCGAUGGCAAGAGAGGGAGGCCAGAUGACAGAUACCUCCACCACCGGGCCUCCAGGCUAGCACUUCCCUCCAUAAUAUGGGGGUCCCCAGGGAGAGGAGGACAAAGGACAUGAAGGCAAGAGCUGAAAACUACCAAAGAAGUUUUUGGUGUCCCCAGGAGAAACUACAGAUCUUCACCAAAGAUGAGUGAGGAGACUGUGAAUGGGCAGACACUUCACAUUCACCCAGGGAAGCCUCCAUCCCCUGGUAAAGACACAAGAACAGGGGAGCUGAACCCUUCGCCUCUGGACUUCGGGACCACCCAUUGUAACUAUUCUUCCUCCAUCCCACCUCUUCAGAGCUGUGACUGGCUGGAGGGAGGUGGGCUGCUGGGCUGCCUCCUCUGGGGAUGGAGACAGGGCAGCCUGGCCACAGGCACAGGAGGCAGGACUCAGGAACAGGCUGCUAGAACGCGCAGGUGACAUUCCAGCUGUACCCAGGCCCAGGUCUGGGCCCCAGUUUCCACCUAGAGGUGGUGUGAGCAGUGUGGCAGCUGGCUCUGACCGCCAAGACAUGGUGAGCUGAGGCUGCAGGGCCGUAACCCUGGCAGGCCCCAGCCACACCUGCAGACACAGCCCUCAGAGGCAGAGGCUAACACGGUUAAUUGGUUCCAACCUUCAGCUAAAAGUAGGAGCAUUGAUCAGGCACCCGUGAGGCUCAGAAGCUGUGGCCUCUGAGGAUGCUGUACUUCCGUGUAAGCUCAAACCCAGAAAAGAGAAAUCCGAUCAGAGGUUGUGGUGCUCACUUCCCAGCCGGGCCAGAGUGGGGCAGAGAGGCGGCAGGCUAUAAAUAGUGGAGGAACCGCCACUGAUAAUCCACUGGAGAGAAGGGAUAGGGCACUCUUCCCCCAGGAAGGAAUGGCAGGCCUCUCCAAGGAACAGCGGGACCUGUCAGAGCAGAGGACAGGAGAUGGUGGCCUCAUCCCCACCCACCCAAGGCCCAGUCCCCUUUCCCUGUCUGUGAAGUGCUUGCUUCUGCCCUGACUCCGUGGAGCAUGGGGACUUACAGGGCAGGCAUAGGAUGAGGGGACUUCAAAUAAUGGUCUUGGGAGUUGAGUUCAGGCUCUCAGUGGAGCCAGGGCUUGGCCAGAGUUCAUAUGAUUUCAGUGUAGGAAGCCGACACCGUCUGUGCAUCCCGACACGGAAGCACAAGUCCACUCUCCUGUCACUCAGCCAUCCCUCCAGAAAUGCAUCCAUCCAUCCAUCCAUCCAAAUAUCUAGUCAUUCAGUAAUUCAUUUGACAAAUAAGAAUUGAGUCCCAAUGAUGUGGCAAGCCCUGUGCUAAGUUCCUUGUGACCUCACCUGUAAACGGUGCUGCUUCUCCCCGUCCUUCUUAGGGUGCUUGUAAGAACCCAUCGAGGAAAGAAAUGUGCUUGCAGCCUGGGAAGUAUCACACAUGUAUCGGUGAGUUGGGGCUUUGACAGAGAGAAGCCUUUGGGUGCUUCCAAGAAGGGAACACCCCAGCCCCUAAGAGCUUCCUUUCCCUCCUUUGGUCCUCAAAAUCUCAGCCAAGGAGGCCUUGAUUGGCAUUCAUGGGCUAUGGCUUUUCAGGUCAACUUUGAACUCUUACGCCUUUUUCCUAAUAUGAGGGUCUAGAAUGUAAAUUUUGAGAUCCUUACUGAAGUAUGCUUCCCCCUAAACUUGCUGUGUGCACUUGGGCAGGCCAGGUGACCUCUCUGUGCAACAGUUUCAUCCACUGUAAAAUGGCAGUGACAUGAGUAACUAUCUCUUAGGGCUGUUGUGAUGAUCAGAGAGUCAGUAUAUGUGAAUUGCUUAGCAUAGUGGCUGGCACAGAGUAGGUACUAUCUAAGGGUGAGCUACUUGUGGAGAUGAUGCAAUCUGGCCCUGGGAAAUGGGGGUUCAGGCUCACCUUUUACAAAGGGACCCUAGGGGGUCCUAUGAGGCAAAUGCUUCUGGCUUUAAGAUACGUCAAGCCUUAGUCUCCUCAGAUUUUAAACCAUCUCCAUAAAACAGCUGUCCUAGGAAGGAAUCUUGGGCUUCUCUCAGAGUCUCAGACCAGAAACUCUGUGUCCUAAGACACUGCAGCCUCUUACAGGAAGGCACUGCAGGUCUCACAGGGAGAGGAAGAGUUAUACAGAACCCUGUCUUCCCUCUUCCUACACUCAUGUGGGUAAAAAGCUUAGAUUUUUCUUGCACUUGGAGUAGAACAAGGGGUACAGCUAAAGUGAUGGACUGCUGAGAGUUUCUAGCUGCUGCUGGAUUCCAUAAGUUCCAUCGGAUUAAGGAUGAGCUUAAUGUAUAAUGUAUAAACCCAUGGACAGAGACACUGCCUUGUUUAAGCAAUGGUUUACAUUCAUAACACAAAUAUAAAUGGAUAGUCAUUUCUUUCUUCAGGGCCCAGCACAAUUCAUUAGUAGCUUCUAGCCUUUUGUCCCUUUCAAGCAGAAAACAGACCCAGCUCAGAGAGCAGUGGCUGGGUCUGCUCAGGACCCAGGAGCCCAAAGCACACAGGAUCCCAAACGCUCCAGAGUCCAUAGAGACUUUGUUGUCAAGCACAUCAGAGAUCAUGACUGCUAUAUAUUCUUGGUGCUUCUUUUCAUCCAUUCAGAGUCUCAAAUGUUCUCUCUUCACUUUCCUGCUUCAUUCAACUAUGCUAAGACUGACAGCCUCCUGAGAUACUAACGUGAUAAGACACAAUCCCUGCCCUCAAGGAACUUUAGGGUAAGCCUGUCUCCCUGACCUUGGCUUCCUGAACUUAGCCUUGUUCCAUAUAAACCUUUUUCCUCCUUCCUACUUUCCUCCCACCAUCAUUGCUGGCUGGUACCAGCUGCUUACUUUGUGUUUCUAGUUGCAUUUCCUUAGCCUCUGUCUCCAGCUGAGCACUGGACUGCACACUGCAGAAAACAAAGGGGAAGAAACAAAGGCACUGGCCUGAAGGAGUUCAUGGCCCACUGGGGAGCUUUUUCAGAAAUAUAACCAAAGAAGCCCCUGCCCUGGAGAGCUUUCAGUCCACAGACAGUGCAUCCUAGAUAGAAAGGGGCCCUCUCUUAAAGAGGUCCAACCCUUCUCAUUCAUGUAACUAUGGCACAAAACAGUAGGUGCCAGUAGCACAAACAGUUCAGAGAAAGAUGCUGCAGAGUGCUGUUGCCUUAGCAUCCCUGGGAAAGGUGCAUGGGCUGUAACCAAGCCCCAUUGUUCCACCUGGGUGAUCAUGGCCAUUGCUAGGGGAGAGCAGAUUUACAUGUGGACACAGGUACUUAUGCUCUACCUGCAGCGACCCAAAACUCUCUUGCUGUUCAAACAUGUCCAAGCAGUCCCCCUGGGUCCAAGGCAGAGGGCCCACUCCAAGUGGGAGACCACAAAAUGACCUUAUACAAACACCAGAAAUUAGGUCUUAGACACAUGAAUGGGACAAAGACUAAGUGUCAAAAUCCCAAACUCAGUCAGCAGCCAAUGGGUGAAGCGGGCGGCAGGAGCAGAGGAGAAUGCAUGCGCUUCCUCCAGUGUCAUCUUUUUCCAUCCCUACGACCCACAGAAGGGUGACAUUAUUCCCCUUUUACAGAUGCAAACACUGAGGCCCAGAGAGGUUAUCUUGCGCAAGGCCCUGCAAUUAGUAAGUGGUAGAACCAAGACCCAAGCUUUUUAUUUUUAAAGCUGGGUCUUUUCAACUAUACCAUUCAGACUACAAAAGCAGAGAAAUAUUUUCCACUUUUUUAUUUGUUAUAAAUAUUUCAUUGAUCAACAUUUAGUUCCUCAGGCACCUGUGUAAGGUCCUCCACGUCCCAGGGCAGGAGGCCCGGGGCUCUAACUCAAGGCCGUGACCCACAGACACACAGGAAAGGCAGUCCCCUCCCUCCCUUCCUGGCCACAGCAGGGCUGGUGCUGCGGUGUCAGCGCUCCAAGGUAUCUGUCGAGGCAAUUUCAGCUCCAGUUUGCUCAAACUCCAGACCAAAGGCUCAGUCGCAGACUCUGAUGUGCCGAACAAAACCAGAGACAGGAACUCGUCUCAAUCACUGAGUCAGCUGGCGGUGAGAAAAUGGGCAGGUGGAAAGCUGGGGAGGGCCCUCCCUCCAUGUCCCCAUUUCCUAGACUGAGCUGGCCCUGCAUUUUCUGCACCCAGGGCUGCUCCCAGAGCAGGCACUAGAACCCUCUGCAGAUCCCAGACCCUGUUCUGCCCUGGAAGCAGUGAGGCACCUCACAGGCCCCCGAAGUCAUCUGAGGCUGGUGGCUGGAGUGCAGUGGCAUGAUCACAGCAAGAAAUCCUCUAACCUCAGCCUUCUGAGUAGCUGGAACUCUAGGCAGUGCCACCACACCCGACUAAUUUUAUUUUUUGUAGAGAUGGGGUCUGGCUGCAUUGCCCAGGCUGGUCUCAAACUCCUGGGCUCAAGGGAUCCUCCUUCCUCAACUUCCCAAAGUGCUGGCAUUACAGGUGUGAGCCACUGUGCCACCUGGGACUGCUUUCUAAAGAGAUUUUCUAUCUUAGAAUCUGUGGGGGCCACUUGAGGAGGAGCUGGUGAGAGGUGGCAUAAAGGUCUGGCCUGUUCCCCUUUAUUUAGGGUUGAGGAACCCCACAGCGAGGGACUGCUAACUCUGCCUUCAGCAUGUCUGGGAGCAGAGUCUUUCCCCUGGCUCCAUGAAGGCCUCCUGCGGAUCAUUUCUCACCUGCUGCGGAGCCACCUGCGGUGCUGACUGUCCCCUCCUGAACCCUGUGCCUCUCUAUGCCUGUCUUCAUUACCAGGGUACGAUGUCCUUCUCCAGCUAGGUGGAUUGGUUCCCAAAGACUCCGGAAUGAGGAACAUUUGCAGACAGCAAACUUAAAACCCUACGAGAAGAAUAGGGUGGGGGAAUUGUGGCUGCAGAUGAGCUUAGGAAGGUCCUUGGAUGUAUUUCUUCACAUGCGUCACAACACCACGCAGCCCUAUACCAAAGACAUGGCACAUCCCGAAGUCUUCCUCAAAGGUAAAUGACAAUCAAUUUCCAAUUUCCAUUAUUUGCUCCAGAGAGGUGGUUCAGGAAUUCCCUCGCCCUCAAGUUUAAAUGAGAUAUUAAUGAAUUAUUUUUGCCUUGUUGCAGACAACAUACCUGUUAGGAGGUGUGUGUGUGUGUGUGUGUGUGUGUGUGUGUGUGUGUGUGUGUGUGUGAUUCUCCAUCCAAGUGUUUACUUCCUUUCUCAUUUCAUGACUUUGGGUUAUUGACUCCUGUCCCUCCCCAACCUCUGCCCUCCCCAGUUGGGUGACCUGGGACCAACUCCCCAACCUCCACAUCUGUCUCCUUAUUAGUGAAAUGGAGCUAUGACAGAACCCAUGAUGUAGGGAUGCUCUAAGAUUUAAAUAAAGUAAUCCAGGUAAAAUGCCUAGUCAAUUGUCUGGCACCUAAUAAGCAUUCAGUCAGUGGUAGCCAUUACUUUCUUAUUAAUAAACUCAAAUAUCACAACCUACCAAGUGUCUGACUAUCCUCAGGGCUUGGCCUCUCCCAGACUUCAUCUGUCCCAUGCUGGCACUGUCAGAACUAUGCCCAUGAGGCCGAAUCACCCUGACUAUUUUGAGGCAACCUUGCUCCCACAUUUCCACCAUCUGUUGAAGGUAUUUCCUCUAUUGACCCCCAGGGAGGCCCAAGAGGGCCAAGUCACAGAUGGGAUGGGGAAGAGAAUCUAGAACUGAUCCCUCUUAAAGACAGUGCAGACUAGCAGACGGCUGCAAAACCUGGGUGUUGGGGCCCUGGGAACUUCCAGAAGUGGACCAUCCAUCCCUACUCCUCCCAGAGUUACACACACAUCCCAAGUUGAGACAGCACCUGUGACUGGCCUGGCCACACACUCACCAUUAGGUGGUCAAGACCGGCUCUCUAAAGUGGCUGCCUCAGGCCCUGUGGCUCCCAGUAACCAAAGUCCACAGGAGGGGUGGUGCAGUCUGAUUGAUCCAGGAAGUGAGCAGUGAUGGGAACAAGGGAUCCCCCCAUCUUUCUACGAGGCCUUGGAGCCGACUGGAGCAUGUCACAGAGGGGUGAGCAGGACUUAUUUCAUCAUAUGUUCAAAUGCUUGUGACAGACUUCCAGACACUUCUGUUCCUGCCUCUUCUCCCAAACACACACCCAUCCACAGGAACCCUGUACUCAUGUCCGCCAGAUUCAUGUCUACUCGAAUAAAAACUUCAAUUCAGUGGUUACGUUUGAUGUCCCUGUGCCUUUCAACACAUUUUUACAUAAUCUGACUUUAGAGCCUUUUCUUUAUAAUAUGCUUCCUUUCUAAGAGGAGCCGAUGCCUUUGGUUAAUGGAGUCUAUUCAAAAAAUACCUAUUGAAUACCUGCUAAGGCCUGCUGAAAGCCAGACACUUGGGGUGCAGGGAGGGGUUGCCAAUGGGAUAGAGGAAGCCAGAGACACAUACUUUCCCUCCAAGAAGCUUAGAGUGGGGGCGGCCUGGGGGAGAUGGAAAUUCACACAACUAAUGCCAGGCUUGGUAAGUACACGGAAAGAAGUGAACACAAAUUGCUUCAGGAACAAAAGCCUAAUUCCUGUGUUUGCAUGGGCCUCUGAUUUCAGGUUUGUGAAUUCAUGAGUUACGAUUUGUUAAUAUACAUCAUGGUGCAUGAAAUAAAGCUCUUGAUCUAAUAACACUAAUACACACCAAAUAGAGUGUGAGCUGGAUGAGUAAUUAGUGAAGCUCUGGGGUGUGACAUUAGCCCUGCUUGUGGAGGGAGGCGUAGCACUGCCUAUGUGUAUAUACAGCCAUGCCUCCAGUAUGGCAGCCACCAGGCACACGUGGCUACUGAGCACUUGAAAUGUGGCUGGUCCAAACUGAAAUGUGCUGUUAAAUACACAUGAGAUAUCAAAGACCAGAUAUCAAAGAAUCAGUACAAGAGAUUAAAACAGCUCAUGAAUACAUUUUGUACUGAUUACAUGUUUAAACAAUAAUAUCUUAUACAGUCAUGCACCAAUCAACAACGGGGAUACAUUCUGAGAAAUGUGUCGUUAGGCGAUUUCAUCAUUGUACGAGCAUCACAGAGUGAGUUACACAUGCCUAGAUGGUGUCGCCUACUACACACCUACGACACACCUAGAUGGUCUAGCCUACUACACACCUAGAUGGUCUAGCCUACUACACACUUAGAUGGUCUAGCCUACUACACACCUAGAUAGUCUAGCCUACUACACUCUUAAUGGUGUUGCCUACUACACACCUAGAUGGUCUAGCCUACUACACACCUAGAUGGUCUAGCCUACUAUACACUUAGAUAGUGUUGCCUACUACACACCUAAAUGGUCUGGCCUACUACACACUUAGAUGGUCUAGCCUACUACACACCUAGAUGGUCUAGCCUACUACACACUUAGAUAGUCUAGCCUACUACACACCUAGAUGGUCUAGCCUACUACACACCUAGAUGGUCUAGCCUACUACACACUUAGAUGGUCUAGCCUACUACACACCUAGAUGGUCUAGCCUACUAAACUCUUAAUGGCGUUGCCUACUACACACCUAGAUGGUCUAGCCUACUACACACUUAGAUGGUCUAGCCUACUACACACCUAGAUGGUCUAGCCUACUAAACUCUUAAUGGCGUUGCCUACUACACACCUAGAUGGUCUAGCCUACUACACACCUAGAUGGUCUAGCCUACUACACACUUAGAUGGUCUAGCCUACUACACAUCUAGAUAGCCUAACCUACUACACACCUAGAUGGUCUAGGCUACUACACCCUUAGAUGGUCUAGCCUACUACACACCUAGAUAGCCUAGCCUACUACACACCUAGAUGGUCUAGCCUGCUACACCCUUAGAUGGUCUAGCCUACUACACACCUAGAUAGUCUAGCCUACUACACACCUAGAUGGUCUAGCCUACUACACACUUCGAUGGUGUUGCCUACUACACACCUAGAUGGUCUAGCCUACUAUACACUUAGAUGCUGUUGCCUACUACACACCUAAAUGCUCUGGCCUACUACACACGUAGAUGGCGUUGCCUACCACACACCUAGGCUAUACGGCAUAGCCUGUUGCUCCUAGGCUACAAACCUGUACAGUACAAUACUGUACUGAAUACAGUAGGCAGUUGUAACACAGUGGUAAGUAUUUGUGAAUCUAAACAUAUUUAAACGUAGAAAAGGUACAAUAAAAUAUGGUAUUAUCAUCUUAUGGGACCAUCCUCAUAUAUGCAGUCCACCAUUGACUGAAAUGUUAUUAUGUGGCAUGUGACUAUGUAUAUUGGGUUAAAUAAAAUAUGUUAUAGAAUUAAAAUUAAUUUCAUCUUACUUCUUUUUACUUUUUUUGUUUUAUUGUAGCUACUGGAAAAUUUAAAACCCCAAAUGUGAUUCACAUUUAUGGUCCACCUUAUAUUCCUAUUGGCCAAUGCAGAUCUAGAGCAUUCAUAUUCGUUUCGUCAUUUAAUUCUCACCACCAUGCUACAAAGUAGGCAUUCACCCCCAUUUUACAGUCAAGCUAAUUGAGGCUCAGAGAAGUAGUAAAUUACUCCAAGUCACAUGACAUUAGGCUUCAGCAACUCACUUGAGCUGAUGACUAUCUUGGGCCAGUGGCUCAAGGCCUUGCAGCAAGAUGAAGGCCAAGACAACCACGUCUACUGGCAGUGUGGCCUGGGGCCAGUUAUUUGCUCCAUUACUUGUGGGUAAGAACAGAAGGAGAGUAGGUACUCCGUGUGUUCAACAAGUGAGGACGG